rnacentral:misc_RNA from 1 species
UCCAGCUUAUCGCUGGCGGUCUCCGAAGAGCGCCCGCUUUCACGGGUUUCACCCUGCAUGUCAAGCCCAGGUAAGGUUCUUCGCGUUGCAUCGAAUUAAGCCGCAUGCUCCGCCGCUUGUGCGGGCCCCCGUCAAUUCCUUUGAGUUUUAGCCUUGCGGCCGUACUCCCCAGGCGGGGUGCUUAAUGCGUUAGCUUCGGCACGGACGGGGUUGAUAUCCGCCCACACCUAGCACCCAACGUUUACGGCUGGGACUAC